UUAAAAAACUAGAAUAAAUCUAGUUUUGUUCCGUGUCAAAACAUAAUUUUCGAUGCUAAAUUAGUCUGCGCCAGUGGCAGGCUUUGACAAGGUUUUCUCAGAGACUUUUAGCAUGUUGCUAUGCAGUUGCUAAGGUGUGUAAGUGGUUUACAGGCCCAAGUGGCGAAAAAGAGCUCACCCCUAAGUUUGGAGAUGUAGCUCAGGUUCCUCAUUUCAGCGUCUAUGGGACUUUCUCAACAUUUUAUGUGUCGAGAAUGGAUCAGGAUUGAAGACAAGUCACUGGAUUUUGUUUCUGAGGUAGUGAAUGUACGAUGAAACCAUCACACAGGCCAGUUUGGAUGAGGUUUAUUCUUUCUUACGCAACAAGUUUGUCUUCACUUUACACAAUGGGCUGGAUGAGGAGCUCUGCUGCUACAGUGGCAUCAUGACCCUGCUUCAGGUCCAGAAUGACUACUUGUCCAUGCACUGCAGACUUGGCCAUGGGACUGAGACCAUCCAGGAGCCGAGGAAUCUUCUAAUGAAGAAAUUGUAAAGCCCUGCAACAGAUGAGUCUCCGCUGACUGCCCAGGGGCGGAGACACUAGGGUCAUCAGUCCACCCUCUGAGUGACGGAGGCAUCCCUCUGCCUUUUGUUAUUGUAGAUGUGCCCUGCAUUAAGUCCAACUGAUCAGGCAGAAAUCAGGCUCGUUAAAUCUCCCAGCUGUCUCUGCGAUGGGCCGUUUCUAAUCCCAGCCUCUGCACGCUGCUCACACAUCGGUGUGUACACGUCUAGAUUGGACGUUUCAUUGAAGUGCGAGUGCAGUAGACGGGGCCCGUGACAGGAGGAGCCACGCUGUGACCUGCUGCCCACCGCCACUUACACACAACCCCUCACAGAAGGAGAAACUCUCCAUUGAGCUCCAGGACAGCAGACCCACGGGAGCCGGCGCUUGGCUAACACCAGCAAAUAGGAUGAAAUUAUUGUGUAAUGACGUGUGGGCUUUGGUGCAGUCUGCAUAUUACACCACAGGACCAAAGGCCAGAUUGAGAGAAACAGUAAGUUUGCAGAGAAGCGGCCUGCAGUAACCCUGUUCUGUGCUCUUUUGGCAGAAAAGCCGUUUUAGAAAAAUUGGGGUUUAGGAAAUAAUGUGCCUUUGAAGUAGGAGGCACAUACAUAUGUAUCAGAGUUUAAGCAGACUUGUUAAAAAAAAAAAUGGAAGAAAUAUAUAUAAUGUGACCCUUAAGUCUUUAAAGAGCAAGGUUAAGGACAAGGACAGCAACAAUUGCAUUUAUUAAUGCAUUUUUGUUUUUUAGUGUCUUUCCACAUAAAGUAAAACAAAAAAUACAGUGGCUAUUUCAGAACCAUUUUUGCGCUUGACUAGACGUUACUGAACACUAAUAGACAAGUGUUUUGUCUUUCUGCUAUGCACUGAGAAAGAAAAAAGGAAAGAAUGACAGAAAAAUCUAUCGGUGUGAAAUUGCUUUGCCUGCUCUGGGAGGCUGCGUUUUGAAAGGGCCCGUGUGUUGAUGAUAAUUGCAGAGUGUGGGCCUGAUUAUUCCAGCCACAUGCUUUCUGUUAACUGACAGAAUAAUUACACACUGGGCUUAAUGGCUCUCCCGAAGAGAAAGAGUGAGAGAGGACUGAAUGAUUGCUCUGGAUGCGUGAGGAAUUCUGAUCGCGUCCGACGAGUGAGUCGCUGAGGAAUCCCAAACAUCUCUAAUGCUUGUGAGUGCAGUCUCUUAUGGGUUGUGUGUACAACCUCCCCAGAUAAAGGAGGAAACUUAUUGGCUGGUUAUGAAGUCAGGUACUGGUGAGCAUAUAUAAGAUGUAAGACGUUGAUGUGGAGUCUGGAGUCAGGAUCCUGGAUGUCACUGAGGAUGUAAGAAAUACGUGGAGAAGAUGACAUGGAUUUUCUUGGCAGAGGAAGGCUAAAACCAGGGAAUGACUUGGAAUCAGGGCGUCUUUGUUUUUGUUUUUUUCUGAAUUAAAAUUAGCUUUAAUAUU